rnacentral:rRNA from 1 species
AAGGCUGAAGACCUUACCCGAUUAGCUGAGAGGUGGUGCAUGGCCGUCGUCAGUUCGUACUGUGAAGCAUCCUGUUAAGUCAGGCAACGAGCGAGACCCACGUCCACAGUUGCCAGCAUACCCUCCGGGGUGAUGGGUACACUGGUGGAGACCGCCGCUGCUAAAGCGGAGGAAGGAGUGGGCAACGGUAGGUCAGUAUGCCCCGAAUCUCCCGGGCUACACGCGGGCUACAAUGGUUGGUACAAUGGGCAUCUACCCCGAAAGGGGAAGGAAAUCUCUUAAAGCCAAUCGUAGUUCGGAUUGAGGGCUGCAACUCGCCCUCAUGAAGCUGGAAUCCGUAGUAAUCGCGUUUCAACAGAACGCGGUGAAUACGUCCCUGCUCCUU